rnacentral:rRNA from 2 species
GGGUUGUGAGGUUAAGCGACUAAGCGUACACGGUGGAUGCCCUGGCAGUCAGAGGCGAUGAAGGACGUGCUAAUCUGCGAUAAGCGUCGGUAAGGUGAUAUGAACCGUUAUAACCGGCGAUUUCCGAAUGGGGAAACCCAGUGUGUUUCGACACACUAUCAUUAACUGAAUCCAUAGGUUAAUGAGGCGAACCGGGGGAACUGAAACAUCUAAGUACCCCGAGGAAAAGAAAUCAACCGAGAUUCCCCCAGUAGCGGCGAGCGAACGGGGAGGAGCCCAGAGCCUGAAUCAGUGUGUGUGUUAGUGGAAGCGUCUGGAAAGGCGCGCGAUACAGGGUGACAGCCCCGUACACAAAAAUGCACAUGCUGUGAGCUCGAUGAGUAGGGCGGGACACGUGGUAUCCUGUCUGAAUAUGGGGGGACCAUCCUCCAAGGCUAAAUACUCCUGACUGACCGAUAGUGAACCAGUACCGUGAGGGAAAGGCGAAAAGAACCCCGGCGAGGGGAGUGAAAAAGAACCUGAAACCGUGUACGUACAAGCAGUGGGAGCAUGCUUAGGCGUGUGACUGCGUACCUUUUGUAUAAUGGGUCAGCGACUUAUAUUCUGUAGCAAGGUUAACCGAAUAGGGGAGCCGAAGGGAAACCGAGUCUUAACUGGGCGUUAAGUUGCAGGGUAUAGACCCGAAACCCGGUGAUCUAGCCAUGGGCAGGUUGAAGGUUGGGUAACACUAACUGGAGGACCGAACCGACUAAUGUUGAAAAAUUAGCGGAUGACUUGUGGCUGGGGGUGAAAGGCCAAUCAAACCGGGAGAUAGCUGGUUCUCCCCGAAAGCUAUUUAGGUAGCGCCUCGUGAACUCAUCUCCGGGGGUAGAGCACUGUUUCGGCAAGGGGGUCAUCCCGACUUACCAACCCGAUGCAAACUGCGAAUACCGGAGAAUGUUAUCACGGGAGACACACGGCGGGUGCUAACGUCCGUCGUGAAGAGGGAAACAACCCAGACCGCCAGCUAAGGUCCCAAAGUCAUGGUUAAGUGGGAAACGAUGUGGGAAGGCCCAGACAGCCAGGAUGUUGGCUUAGAAGCAGCCAUCAUUUAAAGAAAGCGUAAUAGCUCACUGGUCGAGUCGGCCUGCGCGGAAGAUGUAACGGGGCUAAACCAUGCACCGAAGCUGCGGCAGCGACGCUUAUGCGUUGUUGGGUAGGGGAGCGUUCUGUAAGCCUGUGAAGGUGUACUGUGAGG